GGGCGAGGGCGAAGGCGGGGCUUCCGGACGAUAGGAGGACCUGGAGGUACCUCUGCCGCGUUAAGCGGUCUGAGGAAAUUUCAGUCAGCCAUGCAGUCCUGACCGCCGCCUAGCCAGUCUCAGGUAUGCCUUUAUCAGUAGCGUGAGUAUGGACUAAUACACUGAGUCACUGGAUUAGCUCAAUAGCAGAAUAGAGAUGACAGAGGAAUAAGUUGGAGAAGUUAAAGA